GAUGAAGAACGCAGCAAAAUGCGAUACUUGGUGUGAAUUGCAGAAUCCCGUGAACCAUCGAGUUUUUGAACGCAAGUUGCGCCCGAAGCCUUUUGGCCGAGGGCACGUCUGCCUGGGCGUCACGCAUCGCGUCGCCCCCCACAAUUCUCCGUAAAGGGAACAUGUGUUUUGGGGGCGGAUAUUGGUCUCCCGUGCUCAUGGCGUGGUUGGCCGAAAUAGGAGUCCUUUCGAUGGACGCACGAACUAGUGGUGGUCGUAAAAACCCUUGUCUUUUGUUUCGUGCUGUUGCUCGCAAGGUAAACUCUUUAAAAACCCCAAUGUGUCGUCUCUUGACGACGCUUCGACCGCGACCCCAGGUCAGGCGGGACUACCCGCUGAGUUUAAGCAUAUCAAUAAGCGGAGGA
rnacentral:misc_RNA from 1 species